rnacentral:lncRNA from 1 species
AAAUAUUUUAUUCCAUUUUAAAUCUUUAAUGUAACGUAGUUUUUGUUUUGGUAAUAAAAAGAUAAUUAUUAUUAUAAUAAGGCAGUUCUCUGAAUAUGAGAUAUAAAAUAAAAUAAAUAACUUAUUACAACGUAACAUUUAUUUUUAUUUUUAUUUGACUCAAAUUGGGACCAUAAUUUUUCAUUGAAUUCGGAUUUCGUUUAAAUUAAUUCUAUGUCAAUGUUAAAUUUACUCUUAACUACCCUUAAUAAAUAACGGCAUUUUGGUGCUCGCUAAAAUUAUAGAACUAACUAGAAACUAACCGGCGUUUAACUCCUUUCCUCUUUCUUUCUUGCAGGCAUCUAACACAAUAAAAAUGUAAUAUAUAUCGACACUCAAACAGAAUUUGGACAGACAUCAUCUUCAUCUCUUAGCCUUGAACAAUAUCCACUCAUCAAUUGCAAGUUGGAUUGAACGAAUAAAGCGUUGAUCAGAUCUUGUUAAGGUUAAGGUUUGAGAUCAGUAAUGUUUGUCGGUUUAAUUAUUGUAGAGGCAGGCAAUUAGAAGCCGGAGAAAGCGAUAAAAAAAAAAAAAGGAAAAUUAAGGGGGGGGGGGGGGAAAGAGUCUAGAGAAAAAAGAGGGAGAUAAAAAGUUAACAGCUGUUUGUUGUCUAUUAGUGUUUUUGUAUUUAUUAAAGAAAGCUAAGCUUAAAAUCUCAUAGAAACAUUAAGAAAAGUUAGGUUGAGA